GGAGGCCCCGCCCAGGGCGCGCAGCCAGGGGUUUCCAUGGUGAUGGCAAACAAGCCUCAACUGCCUCAGCUACAACUGCCAAGUUUCCCGCGUUCCACCCUCCUCUAGGUGCUCAGAGGGAUGAUCGAGAUGCCGGAUGCGAAGAGCGGGAGCGUGGAGGCUCGGAGCCCGAGCCACAAAAGAUUGCACCCAAACUAGUUUGAUGCUCUCCUGUCCAGAGUCCCUUCUCUGAUGCCUGGUUCUGAAGGCUGUGGAGGCCCAACUCACCCUGGUGCUGUCUGCGGAGAUGUGCAGAACUUCCAACAUUGAAGAUGGGGCAUCAGGAACAAAGCAGCUCUCCUAAGGUAAAGAAUCCCACCUGGAAGAUGGCCAAUCUGAAUGGCCACCUCCCACCAGGGCUGCAGAGCAGAGGAGGACCAGGCCAAAAAAGAGCAGACGCUAGAUUUGCACGGCUAGUAGCAAUAUGUGAUCCUUGUGUUCUGCAAGCCACCCUUCAAACUGUUGAACAACGCGAGCUCUGAUCUGUUUCAGGAGAGCUCCACCUUUGUAGUUCCCUACAUGUUUCCUAGUUCCACGGAAAAUGAAUAGAUCUCAGAGAGACAGCCAGCGAGAGAGGGAACACAGCAGAGGAGCGGGAGAGGAAGAAGCAGUCUCCCAGAAGAGGAGCCCGAUGUGGGACUCGAUCCCGGAAUGCCGGGAUCACGCCCUGAGCCGAAGGCAGACGCUUAAUGACUGCGCUACCCAGGCACCCCUCAAUAUGGUAUUUUAAGCUUUGUUUCAAUCUUGAAAUAUGAUUUAUAAAACUCAUGAAGGAAGAUUAGUUUAUUCUUUUGCCAUUCUUUAAUGGUGGGUCUCCUUACAACAAAUUUUUUUUUCUUUAAAGAUUUAUUUAUUUAUUUGUUGGAGAGAGAGAGAGCACAAGCAGGGGGAGCAGCAGGCAGAGGGAGAAGCAGGCUCCCCACCAAGCAAGGAGUCCGAUAUGGGACUUGAUCCCAGGGCUCUGGGAUCAUGACCUGAGCCGAAGGCAGACACCUAACCGACUGAGCCACCUAACCGACUGAGCCACCCAGCCACCACUGAGUCCCUCUUCACAACAAAUUCUAUUAGUUUUCUUUCUUGCAAUAAUAUCUUUAUUUCUUUUUCAUUCCUGGUGGAGAGUUUCAAACCAGAUGAAGAAUUUACAAUUUAGAGUAUUUUCCUAUGAGCAUUUGAAAAAUGUGACAAUUCCUGGGGCUCAGUCGGCUAGGCAUCCAACUCUUGGUUUCAGCUCAGGUCAUGAUCUCAGGGUCAUGAGAUGGAGCCCUGCAUCAAGCUCCCUGUUCAGCAGGGAGUCUGCUUCUCCCUCUUCCUCUGCAGUUCCCCCUGCUUGUGCUCUCUCUCGUAAAUAAAUAAAUAAAUCUUAAAAAAAAAAAAAGAAAAAAGAAAAAUGUAACAAUCCAUUCUGGUCUCCAUGAUUUCAGAUGAGAAAUCCACUGUCAUUCAAAUUGGUGUUCUAUGGGUGAUGUGUUGUUUCCUUAUGGCUGUUUUCAGGGUUUUCUCUUUAGCUUUCAGAAGUUUAAUUGUGAUGUGUCUCGGCAUAGAUUUUUUGGGGGGUUGAUCAGUGUCUUCUAUUUAGAUUUGUCUCUUGUCAGUUUGGGGACAUUUUCAGCCAUUUUUUUUUUAAACACACAGCUGGGGACCCUUUUUUUUUUCUUUCAGCCUGUUCUCUCUGGUUUAGAUGGCAAAUCUGUUGUUCUGUCCUCAAGUUCACAGAUUCUUGUCAUCUGCAAUUGUUAUGGGUUGAAUAAAGUCCCUUGAAAGAUAUGAUGAAGUCCAAACCUCUGGUGCCUGUUUGUGACCUUGUUCAAUUAUUCAGUUUUGCCCUUAAGAAAUUUUAAGCUUGGGUGCAUGGGUGGCUCAGUCGGUUAAGUGUCUGACUCUUAAUUUUGGCUCAGGUCAUGAUCUCAGUGUUGUGAGAUUGAACCCUCUGUGGGACUCUGCACUGGGUGUGGAGCCUGCUUAAGAUUGUCUCUCUCCCUCUUCCUUUGCCCCUCCCUGCCUUCUCCCUCUCAAAAAAAAAAAAAUUUUAAGUCCUCUCACAGAAUUUCAAACUUGGUACUUAUCUUGGGACACUAUGUAUUCAAGGAUUUGCUUUUAACUCUAGCCCUUAUUUAUUUACUUAUUUAUUUUUAACAAUUUUAUUUAUUUGUCAGAGAGAGAGCAUGAGCACAACCAGGGGGAGCAGCAGGCAAAGGGAGAAGCAGACUCCCCACUGAGCAAGGAGCCAGGUACAGGACUCGAUCCCAGGACCCCAGGAUCAUGACCUGAGCUGAAGGCAGAUGCUUAACUGACCGAGCCACCCAGGCACCCCUCCAGCCCUUCUUGAAUGCUAGACUCUCUAUCCUCCAUACUUGCUUUCUGCAGGGGCUCAAGCCUUAUUCUCAACCCUUAUCUGUGCCAGAAUUGGUUAGUGGUCCUGGAUUAGAAGUGGGUUUAGAUACUGAAAAGCAAUUCACUAUAUUCUCUAGUGUUUUCAUAUGUUUACUGUUUUGUUUUCAGGUCUUUAUAUUCUAAGCACUAUAAGACUGAGACUUCAUUCUGCCUUUUGGUCUCAUCUCAUUAGCCUCUUUCUAGAGGCUCGUGAAUUUGUCAUUCCUGUCAUAGCAUAGCACUGCCCAAAGUGUCCUUGCUUUGUUUUUUCCUCAGCAGAGACACAGUACCGGGGGCAAGACAAGCCCAGAGGAUCUGCUUGCAUCCAGAAUUGGAAAAUGUUAUCAGGAGAAACACACACGUACAAACAGCAGGAAUUUGGGAGUUCACCUCCUUGUGAUUCUAUCUGUUCUAAAGUUUUGAUCUCCUUUAUCCUUGUUGCUCCCAGAACAGUUGGAUGCCUUUAAGUAUAUUUUUGUUGUUUAUAUGGGUUUUACUAGACGUUUUUAGAAGGAAUAGUGGUCUAAAGCAAUGUAAUACAUCCUACCAUGAAGGAGGUGCAUGCGUGUGUAUUUAUUUAUUCAUUUUAAAAGAAAUAUAUAGCUGGUCAGGCGUAUAGGGAGUGCUGAACUUAAACCCGGUCUCCACUUCUCAGUUGCAUGGAUUGGUAUUUUCACUGUGAAGCCUGGGGCAUCAUGUGUUUUAUUUUUGAGCUUCCCCAGAAAAGGCCGGCUUGGAAUCCAGGUCAGUGCAGAUACCCUCAUGGUUGCAGAGUUGUCUUGCUGACCCUACUCCAGGAUGCAAGCAGCCCGUCUCUUGCUGAAAAAAAUGACUUUCCCAUAUGAUAUUCCUUUUAUGGUGAAAGUGAAUGGGUAACCCAAUUGGCAGAUAAUCCACAGGAGACAUCCUCUUGCAUCCAUGGGAUUUGAGGGAUUCUCGGUUUUUUAAAAAAAUAUUUUAUUGGUUGGUGUACCUGGGUGGCUCAGUCAGUUGAGCGUCCAACUCUUGAUUUUAGCUCAGGUCUUGAUCGGAGGGUCAUGAGUUCAAA